CGAGGAGGUAAAAGAUAUAAUUAAGAAGAAAGGCAACACCGCCACAGUGAUAAAGCAAAGAGAAAAAGCGUGGCAAAGUAUUGCAGACCGCCUGAAUGCAUUAAACAUGAACGGGCCAAAACGGACAUGGCAGCAGGUCAAAAUCAAAUACAAGAACAUUCUGCAGAAUGCAGUGAAAAAGAAUACCCACAGACAAGGCACGGGUGGUGGGUCA